AAACCGUAUACCACUCUCUUCAUUUCCAGUUUGUCUUUCACAAGGAGUUGACUUGCAAGCAUCAAGGUGAAGACCGGAACUGCACCUGACUGACACUUGGGACUGAGAAGAGGUGGCCUGUGAUGCUUGGCAGCUUCAUUGCAUCCCACCCUGAACCCCAUGGCACCAGCCUCCCCCGCCCCCACCAUGUACCAAGCAGUCCACAGUAUGGCCAGCUACUCUUAAAUAUUCAUAAGAGUGUUGUAUCAUAAUGAAAGAACUAUUUACUUUUCACUUUC